rnacentral:rRNA from 1 species
UACGUAGGUGGCAAGCGUUGUCCGGAUUUACUGGGUGUAAAGGGCGUGUAGCCGGGCCGGCAAGUCAGAUGUGAAAUCCCAAGGCUCAACCUUGGAACUGCAUUUGAAACUGUUGGUCUUGAGUAUCGGAGAGGCAGGCGGAAUUCCUAGUGUAGCGGUGAAAUGCGUAGAUAUUGGGAGGAACACCAGUGGCGAAGGCGGCCUGCUGGACGACAACUGACGGUGAGGCGCGAAAGCGUGGGGAGCAAACAGG